CCUACGGGUGGCAGCAGUGGGGAAUAUUGGACAAUGGGCGAAAGCCUGAUCCAGCCAUGCCGCGUGUGUGAAGAAGGCCUUCGGGUUGUAAAGCACUUUCAGUGGGGAAGAAAGCCUUGGGGCUAAUACCCUCGAGGAAGGACAUCACCCACAGAAGAAGCACCGGCUAACUCCGUGCCAGCAGCCGCGGUAAUACGGAGGGUGCGAGCGUUAAUCGGAAUUACUGGGCGUAAAGCGCGCGUAGGCGGUCUGAUAAGCCGGUUGUGAAAGCCCCGGGCUCAACCUGGGAACGGCAUCCGGAACUGUCAGGCUAGAGUGCCGGAGAGGAAGGUAGAAUUCCCGGUGUAGCGGUGAAAUGCGUAGAGAUCGGGAGGAAUACCAGUGGCGAAGGCGGCCUUCUGGAAUGACACUGACGCUGAGGUGCGAAAGCGUGGGUAGCAAACAGGAUUAGAUACCCUAGUAGUC
rnacentral:rRNA from 1 species